rnacentral:rRNA from 1 species
AGCAGCCGCGGUAAUUCCAGCUCCAAUAGCGUAUAUUAAAGUUGUUGCAGUUAAAAAGCUCGUAGUUGAAUUUCGGGAUUGGCGUGUCGGUCGUGCCUUAAGGGGUAUGAACUGGCGUCGUCGAUUUCUCACCUUCUGGAGAAACGCGAUGCCCUUAAUUGGGUGUCGUGCGGAACCAGGACCUUUACCUUGAAAAAAUUAGAGUGUUUAAAGCAGGCAUUUUUGCUCGAAUACAUUAGCAUGGAAUAAUAAAAUAGGACGGUUGGUUCUAUUUUGUU